CACGUAGGGGCCAAGCGUUGGUCCGGAUUUAUUGGGCGUAAAGAGCUCGUAGGCGGUUGGGUAAGUCGGGUGUGAAAACUCCAGGCUCAACUUGGAGACGCCACCCGAUACUGCUCUGACUUGAGUUCGGUAGGGGAGUGGGGAAUUCCUGGUGUAGCGGUGAAAUGCGCAGAUAUCAGGAGGAACACCGGUGGCGAAGGCGCCACUCUGGGCCGAAACUGACGCUGAGGAGCGAAAGCGUGGGUAGCAAACAGG
rnacentral:rRNA from 1 species